CGCGAUCCCGCUGCCCUCAGGACUCGGACUGCUUGCCCCCUCCGUUUCCUUCAGGCCUUCCUCCGCCAGCUGGGACAAGUACUUCUGUGGAGGAGAGAGGGACAAUAUAGGCAAAAAAGAUGUGGAGAAGCUGUAGAGACAGCGGCGUUCUGCCUGCCAAGGCCCCUGACAGAGCCCUAUCUGAGUUGGCUGUGACAGAGACUCCUGGCUCCCUGACAGAAAACAAAAACAAAAACAAACAAACAAAACGGUUAUCCGCAUGGAGGAAGACAAAAGGAAAUACCCGCAGCUGACGUACCCAGGCCUGCCUGAGAAGGCUAGAUGUACACAGACCAGGCUGGCCUCAGACUCGCAGAGACCCAUCUGUCUUGGCCUCCUGCGCGAUGGGAGCUAAGCCUAGGAACUCAGGUCCCACACGCUGGACCGGAGUUUUCCCCGUGCGAGCAGAACACAGCAGCUGAGGCAGGGGUGCUGCUCCUGUUUCCUCUAGUGGGACAAUCUGGGAGACAGAAUUGAAAGGAGGGAGGGAGUAUGGCAGCGUUCACAGGGAUGAGGACGGGGCAGCUGUUCCUGGGGCCCUGAGCCUCCUACAGCCCCGCGGCCCCCUUCCUUCACUGCGUGCUGAGCACAGGAGAUCCUAAACUUGUAAACAGGACUUUCCUUUACAUCUCAAUAACAGUAACCAAUAACAAUAAUAAUAUAAUAACGACGACGACAAAUGGAAAUAACUCAUGGAAAGUGGUGACUCUGAGAGAGGACAGGAGAGGCGAGGAAGCCCGGAACGGCUCGCAGUCUGCCAGCCCAAAGCUCCACACUGCAUCUUGAAACCUGGGCUGUCUCUCUGCUGUGCAGGCUCUCUGCCCGAUGCCUGAUGUCUGCAAAGCACUCAGCAUUCAGCCACAAGCCCGGAAGUGAGAGGGUGUCACUCAGUCCAGCUGUCCCAAGGGGCUGAAUGUCCUUCUCCUUCAGCCUCUGCCCUUACCCUCCGGGCAGAGAAUGAACACAUGGCUCCACUUGGGGGUGGGGUGGGGGUUGGGAGAGGCUCUGAUGGGAGAUCGAGCUGACAGGAAUAGGUGUCAAGCAAGGCCUACCGCCUCUUUCUUCUGUUAUUGCAAAAUAGUUGUGUGCUGGCUGCUGCUCCCCACGGGUCUCAGAGACACAAUGCAAGAGAAAAGCUACUAGGAGAGAACUCUGGCCAGAGCCCUGACUCUGUCCUGUCCCUCAUCUGACAGGCAGCAGGGUGCAGCUGGGCUGUACCAGGAACUUAGCCCAGGGGAUUCCAGUGUAAACCAGGCCACGGCGACCCAUCGUCUCUACCCUGGGGUCCCCAGGAGGAGGGGAACCACCUCAGGGGAGUCCAGUGAAACUGAGGCAGGAGCCAAAUUGUGCAGCAUGGCUCCUUUCGACCAGAGGGUUGCAGCUACCAUCUGUGGGGUUGUGAGCGAGACGUCACUUGAGCAAAGUCCCCCACCAUACCAGAAAAGGCAAAACCAAAGGGCGUGGAAGCAACAGCAACGGCGGAGGAGACAGGCCUUGCGCUCCCGUUUAAGCUGUGGCCUCAGAGGCACUGUUGGACUUCUCUGGAACGAGUUUUGUCGUCUGUAAACUAGGACGGAUAAUGCCACACACGGUGUUGUGAGGAAGCACCCGUCACUUUGCGUGGCGCUCAGGAAAACACUAGAUGAGGAACAUAGAAGCCAAGCAUCCAAGCACUGGGCCUCACCCGCUUUCCGGCCUUUCCCAAGGCUGCCGGAGAACCACUUCCAUGACUUGGCAGCAGCUUUCUUCCCAGGCCCUGCCCAGUGGGUUGGGUCAACAUCAGUAAUCAAAAGACAGCACUCGGGAAAGAUGAGUGAGGCAGGAGGAUCUUCAAACAACAGCACCACCCAGGAGCUGCGAGGGCACCGCAGCGCCCGGCCACCACUCCCCGAGGAAGCCCAAAUGCAGGGAGCAGAGCAGAGCAGCGUCGAGAAACGCUGCCAUAACGGGGUCAGGAGUCACUGAGCGCUCCAUUUCUUCAGGGUUUAUUAAGUACCGUCAUUAAAGCCGCAUCUGCCUCCUAAUAAUAGCUCCUGGCACGGAUAAUUAUGACUCUGUCAUCCUAGUAAAGCCCAUGUUGGAGAGAGGGGGAAGCUGACUUUUUGCCAGCGAUGCUAUUUGGUUGUCGUACGAGCAGGCCUUGGCAGGCUCACACUGGCUAGAGUCGCAAAGUGCUGGCCCGAAUCACAAGCGCCCUUCUGCAGUCAUGAGCACCCCAGUUCCUGACAACAAGACUGACUUCCAUUCUCCCAGCGGGGUGCCCUGUCCUUGGCAUCCUGCAUGUCACCUCUGUGCUCUCUACAGGGACUGGAAUGUUGUCUCUCGUAUUUCUAGAAACCUUUCGGUAGUAGUGACCAAUCCUGGAGUGUAAGGGGCUUGCAGCCCCACCGAGAAGCACAGUGGGCCUCAGUGAGUUCUGAACCACCCAACAAGCCCUUCCUAAAUCCUUGCUGCUGGAAGACACUAGGACCCCACAAUCAUUUUCUCCUCAAAAAAAAAAAAAAGUCUACACAGAGGCUUUUAACUAGGUUCAUAGAGACAAAGAACUCAAAGCAAAGAGGUUAAAUAAGUUACUGCUUGCCAGCCAGCCAUCAAGUGGCAGAGGUGGGAUUUGAACCCAGGAAUAAGAGGCCGCAGUCUGUGCCCUUACUGAAGGGCAGAUGGCAGCGUGGCCAGGGGACAGACAUCCCACGUCCCUGAACUUGAUGUGCGAUCUUGGGAAAGUCAAACACAGAACACGGUAGCAUCCCUUCCUGGAGGGUGAGAGGGUACAGAGACCAGUGAGCUGUUGGCAUUCCAGGCUCAUAACAAUAAUCUGCAAUCCAAGCUGGAAACAACUUCAGCGCUCACCGCCAGGUAGACAGAGAGUGUGAUAUGCCCUGAUCCACAAAACAGCACAGGUGCCUAUGAAUAUCAAAACAGAUAAACCACACGCUUUGCAUAUGUGUCCUUUGUCGUAUGCCAAUUACACUCUAAUAUAGCCCUUUAUAAAAACAAAAUCAGAUGCCAUUUCUCUCCUAACAGGUUGGCAAAGAUUAAAAACUGAUAACUGGGUUUGGCAAAGACGUGGGGAACAGGAAUUCACCCCGGAGGUGGCACUGAAAGCUGUUAUCCUCUUUUCGGAGUGCAAUUUAGUAGUAAUUAUAACCUUUUCAAUGCAAAUAUAUAUGGCCCCACAGUGCGCCCAUGCUGGGCUAGCAGCCCGUCUCACAGAAAUGCUGGCAUGUGCGCAAGGGGAACCAAACCAGCACAUAUGGGCAGCAGUCGAAGACUGAGGCUAAGCACACACUAGUAGAAUUUGAAUCCGAACAAACACCAGCCCUUCUGCUCGGGAGCCUCGUGACUGCGGCUUAGAUUUCCUAUCUGUAAAGCCGGGGUUUAAAAUACCACUUGUUUCUUCCAUGUUUGGAGAGUGCUCAAUAAUGCAUACAAAGCACUAAGAAAACUGAGGGGUGAUGGAGGACAAUUCGUAAAAGCUUAGCUGUUACCACGUGUUCACAACGGAAAGACAACAAACAGGAAACUACCAGUAAAGGAUCCGCAGCUAAUCGUGCAGAUUUUAGGAAGGAGUGUUUGCAGUGGUUCUGAGGCUCUCUGUGUCUACUCGACUAGAUCCCUAAGACCUGCUGCUACAGAGCGUGGAGCAUAUGGGAGAAAAAUCAUGGUGAACACGGCGACAAAAUCCACCUCUGGGGCUGGGGAGGGACAGCUAAGACCACUAGAGUUGACUUUAAAUGGUCUUUGCAGUUUAGGUUUGUUAUAAUAAGGGUUCACGCUGUCUAUAGUGAAAAGACAUGCAUGAGGAA